rnacentral:rRNA from 1 species
UACAGAGGUGGCAAGCGUUGUUCGGAAUUACUGGGCGUAAAGGGCGCGUAGGCGGCCUUGUAAGUCUUGUGUGAAAUCCCUCGGCUUAACUGAGGAACUGCACGGGAUACUGCGAGACUUGAGAUCGGGAGAGGGAAGCGGAAUUCCGGGUGUAGCGGUGAAAUGCGUAGAUAUCCGGAGGAACACCGGUGGCGAAGGCGGCUUCCUGGACCGACACUGACGCUGAGGCGCGAAAGCUAGGGGAGCAAACGGG